rnacentral:rRNA from 1 species
AGAAUCAACGCUGGCGGCGUGCCUAACACAUGCAAGUCGAACGCGAAAGUCCCGCAAGGGAUGAGUAGAGUGGCAAACGGGUGAGUAACACGUGGGUGACCUGCCUUCGAGUGGGGGGAUAACGUCCCGAAAGGGACGCUAAUACCGCAUAACAUCCUGCUUUUUAAGAGGUGGAGAGCAAAGCCGGGGAUCGCAAGACCUGGCGCUUGAAGAGGGGCCCGCGUCCGAUUAGCUAGUUGGUGGGGUAAUGGCUCACCAAGGCGACGAUCGGUA